rnacentral:rRNA from 1 species
GACGAACCGUCCGAACGUUAUUCGGAAUCACUGGGCUUAAAGGGUGCGUAGGCGGGUAAGUAAGUCCGUGGUGAAAUCUCUGAGCUUAACUCAGAAACUGCCGUGGAUACUAUUUGCCUUGAAUAUUGUGGAGGUGAGCGGAAUAUGUCAUGUAGCGGUGAAAUGCUUAGAUAUGACAUAGAACACCAAUUGCGAAGGCAGCUCACUACACAAUCAUUGACGCUGAGGCACGAAAGCGUGGGGAUCAAACAGG